rnacentral:ncRNA from 1 species
ACUCCAGUCUGGCUCUGUGCGGCGAAAUCUGAGGUGUAGUAUGGGUGGAAGCGCAAGCACAAAUGAAAUACCACCACUCGGAAACGUUGCUUCACUUAUCGAAUGAAGAGACCAAUGGGUUUCGCGUAGUCUGUGGGCUAUGCGCCGUCUAGGUUUGGGAUUUUAUGGCGGCAACCCCGUCUCCACGGGGGGCGGCGCGUGUUCGCAAGGGCAUGUGUCCCCGUUUCUCUCCUUUACGGGAGGGCCCGUGGGCACCCAACCGUGCUGACAAACUGAACCAACGGGGUUGCUUCGGCAGCUUCGGAGUUUUGUUUCGAGAGACAUCUGCCAGAUGUGGGGU